rnacentral:lncRNA from 10 species
AGUCUGACUCAGCCAGUCCAGGGCGGAGGCAGUAAAGCCCUGUCUUGGCAAGUCACCAGGGAAAUCCAUCACCGAAGCACCUCUCUCCCCCCUCGGCCUGGCUAUUCUGUCAUUGGCACCUGUUCUUGGAAUUUCACUCUGUCGCCAGGCUGGAAUGCAGUAGGGCAAUCUCGGCUCACUGCAACCUCCACCUCCCGAGUUCAAGUGAUGCUCCUGCUUCGGCCUCCUGAGUAGCUGGGACUACAGGUGAGUGCCACCACAUCCAGCUAAUUUUUGUAUUUUUAGUAGAGACAGGGUUUCACCAUGUUGGCCAGGCUGGUAUCAAUCUCCUGACCUCGUGAUCCAUCUGUCUCGGCCUCCCAAAGUGCUGGGAUUACAGGCGUGAGCCACCGUGCCCGGCCAUUGACUAAGGUCUUAAAAUAGCUCUUCCUGCCUGUAUAAUCUCCAUUAUGGCAGGGCUCAUAUAAGAAGAUGACAGUUCAUCUGAUGAGGAAGAAAACUUACUCCUAGUUAGAUUGGGUUGAAUUCUUCCCUGUUUCCAGCGGUGUCUGCUCCUGGCACCUCAGGCACAGUCAGGGGUAGGAGGUGGUGAUC